rnacentral:rRNA from 1 species
GAUGAACGCUGGCGGCGUGCCUAAUACAUGCAAGUCGAGCGAACGGACGAGAAUCUUGCUUCUCUGAUGUUAGCGGCGGACGGGUGAGUAAUACGUGGAUAACCUACCUAUAAGACUGGGAUAACUUCGGCAAACCGUAGCUAAUACCGGAUAAUAUUUUGAACCGCAUGGUUCAAAAGUGAAAGACGGUCUUGCUGUCACUUAUACAUGGAUCCGCGCUGCAUUAGCUAGUUGGUAAGGUAACGGCUUACCAAGGCAACGAUGCAUAGCCGACCUGAGAGGGUGAUCGGCCACACUGGAACUGAGACACGGUCCAGACUCCUACGGGAGGCAGCAGUAGGGAAUCUUCCGCAAUGGGCGAAAGCCUGACGGAGCAACGCCGCGUGAGUGAUGAAGGUCUUCGGAUCGUAAAACUCUGUUAUUAGGGAAGAACAUAUGUGUAAGUAACUGUGCACAUCUUGACGGUACCUAAACAGAAAGCCACGGCUAACUACGUG